ensembl:antisense Gm13977 predicted gene 13977
UUUAGGGGCAGGUGUCCCCAGCAACACCUCCCUGAGAUCGGAACCCAGACGCUCAUUGAAGACACUCUGCCAGCUGCGAGAAACACAGACGGCCCGUUUCGGGUCACAGGGAUGCUUUUCCAGCCUGGAGUUGGAAACCCGGAAGUGCUCUGGUGGAGCGCGGGAUUUGAAUGUGUUUUUUUCCGACACGCCCAGUUCUGCCGCUCUGAGCAGAUGGCCUGCAAAGGAGCAAGGCUCCAGUGAUGAGGUGGAAAAACUGAACCAAGAAAUCCCAUAAUUCCUCUGGUCAAAAACUUCAUUCACCCACUGGUGAGAUGGCUCUUCAGAUAAAGGUAUUUGCUACCAAGCCUGAAGAACUGAGUGCUAUCCAGGACCUACAUGAUGGUGGAAGGAACCAACUUGCACUAUUUUACCUCCACUGGAGGACAGUCUCCUCACCUGUCAAGAGUCUGUCUGUCUCUUAAUGUCUCUGUCUCUCUGUGUCUCUGUCUAUCCCCCUCUUUCUGUCUCUCACACACGUGCACCCACAUGUGCGCGCACACACACACACACACACACUCACACACACACACACACACACACACACACACACACACUUCAUCCUCUAUCAUAAUCAAGGGUAAUAAAGCAAGUGGGACAGAGUUGCACUGUUUGCUGCCCAACUUUCCCAUACAAUAAUCCCUUACAAUUACUUACUCUUUUGUUUGUUUUAACCUCAUCUUAUUUUUGUUUUCUGCAGUGCUUGCUGAGAGUUUCAGGCAUGGCAAGGAAGCGUACUACACCCUGGUCCUCCAUAUUGCUUACCCUUAAUACCUUCUUGCUUGGAAAGCUCAUUCCAGGAGGUAUAGUUCCACCCUGCUGCUCAGUGCAUCUUGUGCUAGCUAACUCCUCUGUGUAGACACAGAAUGAAGUUCUUAAAUGCUAUCUGGAUGCUUUCUAUUGAUUACAGUGGUGUUUACUUUCAGACUUCACCUUCUGGUCAUUUUUCCCCCCAAGACAAGGUUUCUCUGUGUAGACUUGGCUGUUCAGGAAUUCAUUCUGUAGAUCAGGCUGGACUCAAACUGUAUGCCUCUGCCUCUCAAGUGCUGGGAUUAAAGGUGAGUGCCACCACCCCUAGGCCCCCAAAGCCACUCAUAAUGGUUCAAAUUAGGGGGCUAGAGAGAUGGCUCAGCACUUAAGAGCAUUGACUGCUCUUCCAGAGGAUCAAGGUUCAAUUCCUAGCACCCUCAUGGGAGUUUACAACUGUCUAUAACUUCAGUUCCAAAGAACCUAAGACCCUCACACAGAUAUACACGUAGGCAAAACACUAAUGCACAUAAAAAUAGUAAUAAUAGUUCAUACUAGGAAUAAUAAAAAUACUGUAGUCCUAUGGGGUUUGAUAUCUCUCUGAACUGCUGAUAAUGUUCUUAGAAUGUAAUUUGUUGUGAGUAUUUCUACUUAUAAAUACAAGAAUACUUCAGAUACAUAGAGGUUAAGAAUUUUGUUUAAAUUGCUUAGCUAAAGCUUUUCGACAUAUCAUUUGGUUUCAAUUCCCUGCUCCUUUAAAUUUUUAACUACAUUUUUUGGCUUAAAGUUGAAAUGCAUAAUAAUAAUUUUGGAAACAAGAGGAGCACUUAGAAUGGGAUCAUGCCUUUCUGAAAUAAAGAAUUUUUGUGUUCACAAAAAUAUAAUGAAUGUAGAUUUUGAGGAAGAUAACAAAAAAUAAUAGUUAAAUAGGUUGAUGAUUAUUGAAUAUACAUUGUAUGUGUUUUAACAAUUAUAUAUUACAGAAAUAAGUUGUGUUAAUUCAGUAUUUAACAUACAUUUACCACACAUAUAUGUUAUCUUACUUACCAUUCACAGCACCCGUCUGAAAUGGAACCCAGUUUUAAAGUUGUAUCAAAUAGGUUUAAGUCAAGAUUGUAUGUAGCACAAUAGGGAUUGGAGUCACUUGAUCUCUGUAAUAUACUGUGCAGAGCUGUGGGGAGUGGAGUGGGAUUGUAGUGUGAAUGGGAUCGGAGCACUUUACCUCUAGGGACUUUCUCAAUGCAGAGGGUGGCCUUGGGUCACCAGGUUUCAAGGAGGCUCCUAGUAUCAUUUGAUCAAUGUCCCUAACUUUAUGUCUUAAUUGUUACGGCCCCAGGUGUUCUUUCCAUUCCAAAUAUAAUACUGGAGAAAACAUCUAGAAGUUAACUAUGGUGACUAUGAUGAAAAUGGAAUAGAGCCAUUCCUCUACAAAGAGAAGAACUAAUAGUAUUCCAUUGUGUAAAUGAACCACACUUUUUGUAUCCAUUCUUCUGUCUUGGGACAUCUAGGUUGUUUCCAGCUUCUGACUCUCACAAAUAAGGCUGCUAUGAACAUAGUGGAACACAUGCCCCUGUGCAUGGUGGGGCAUCUUUUGGGUAUAUUUUCAAGAGUGGUAUAGCUGAGUCUUCAGAUAGAUCUAUUUCAAAUUUUCUGAGGAACCUGCAGAUUGAUUUCCAGAGUGGUUGUACCAGUUUGCAAUCCCAUCAGCAAUAGAGGAGUGUUCCUCUUUCUCCACAUCCUCUCCAACAUGUGUUGUCACCUGAGGUUUUGAUCUUAGCCAUUCUGAUUGGUGUAAGGUAGAAUCUCAGGGUUGUUUUGAUUUGCAUUUCCCUGAUCGCUAAGGACUUUGAACAUUUCUUUAGGUGCUUCUCAGCCAUUAGAGAUUCCUCAGUUGUGAAUUCUCGGUUUAGUUCUAUACCCCAUUUUUUGAUUAGGUUGUUUGGUUUUUUGGUAAUUAACUUCUUGAGUUCUUUAUAUAUUUUGGAUAUUAGCCCUCUAUCGGAUGUGGGGUUAGUGAAAAUUUUUUUCCCAAUCUGAAGGUUGCUUAUUUAUCUUAUUGACUAUGUCCUUUGCCUUACAGAAGCUUUCCAGUUUCAUAAGGUUCCAUUAAUCAAUUGUUGAUCAUAGAGCAUGAGCCACUGGAGUUUUGUUUAGGAAAUUUUCCCCUGUGCCAAUGAGUUCAUGGUGCUUUCCCACUUUCUCUUGUAUUAGAAUAAAUGUAUCUGGUUUUAUAUUGAAGUCCUUGAUCCACUUGGACUUGAUCUUUGUACAAGGUGACAAAUAUGGGACUAUUUUUAUUCUUCUAUAUACAGACAGCCAGUUAUACCAGCACCAUUUAUUGAAGAUGCUUUCUUUGUUCCACUGUAUAUUUUUGGCAUCUUUGUCAAAGAUCAAGUGACCGUAGGUGUGUGGUUAUAUUUCUUGGGUCUUCAGUUCUAUUCCAUUGAUCAAGGUGUCUGUCUCUGUACCACUACCAUACAUUUUUUAUCAUUAAUGCUCUGUAACAUGAGGUCAUGGAUGGUGAUUCACCCAGCUGUUCUUUUAUUGUUAAGAAUUGUUUUCACUAUUCUGGGGUUUUUGCCUUUCCAGAUGAAUUUGAGGAUUGCUUUUUCCAUGUCUUUGAAGAAUUGUGUUGGGAUAGUUUUACAGGCAAAUGGAUGGAACUAGAAAAUAGCAUCCUGAGUGAGAUAACUCAGACCCAAAAGGACUUGCAUGGAUUACAGGGAUGGAAAUGGAGAGGAGCCUGAGGAAAAAAGGUCCAUUGGCAGGCCCAAAUCCAGCUCAAGGGGAGGUCCUAAGGCCUGACACUGAAGCUAUGGAGUGCUCACAAAAAGGUACCUAUCAUGACUGCCUUCUGAAAGACCCAACAAGCAGAGUCAGAUGCAGAUAUUUGCACCCAACCAAUUGACAGAAGCAGCUGUUGUUGAAUUAGGGAAGGCUGAAAGAAGCUGAGAAGGGCAAUCCUCUAGGAGGACCAGCAGUCUCAAUUAAUCUGGAUUCCCGAGAUCUCUCAGACACUGGACCACCAAACAGGCAGCAUACACCAGCUAAUCUGAUGCCCCCAACACACAUACAGUAGAGGACUGCCUGGUCUGUGUUCAUUCAGAGAUGACGCACCUAACCCUCAAGAGACUGGAGGCCCCAUGGAGUUUAGAGGUUAGGUGGGAGUUGGGUUGGGAAUAUCCACGUGGAGACAGGGGAGUGGGGAGGAGGUAUGGGAUGUGGAACAGUCGGAGGGUGGAUGGGGGGGGAGUAAGGUAUGGAGUAUAAAAAUUA